GUCUUCGUAGUGUAACUGUCAGCACAUUCUGCUCGUAUUCGAGAGGUCCAGGUUCGAGUCCUGGCGAGAGCA
rnacentral:tRNA from 1 species